AUAUUUUACGAUUGUAAGUAUAAAUUAGUAACUGUGAUGGCUAGUGGCUGUAUCCUCAAAGGGGUUAAAGUAUCGUAAAAUUAUUGUCCUCCUGAGA